CCUACGGGGGGCUGCAGUGGGGAAUAUUGGACAAUGGGGGGAACCCUGAUCCAGCCAUGCCGCGUGUGUGAAGAAGGCCCUCGGGUUGUAAAGCACUUUCAGUGAGGAAGAACGCCUGGUGGUUAAUACCCAUCAGGAAAGACAUCACUCACAGAAGAAGCACCGGCUAACUCCGUGCCAGCAGCCGCGGUAAUACGGAGGGUGCGAGCGUUAAUCGGAAUUACUGGGCGUAAAGCGCGCGUAGGUGGCUUGAUAAGCCGGUUGUGAAAGCCCCGGGCUCAACCUGGGAACGGCAUCCGGAACUGUCAAGCUAGAGUGCAGGAGAGGAAGGUAGAAUUCCCGAUGUAGCGGUGAAAUGCGUAGAGAUCGGGAGGAAUACCAGUGGCGAAGGCGGCCUUCUGGACUGACACUGACACUGAGGUGCGAAAGCGUGGGUAGCAAACAGGAUUAGAUACCCCAGUAGUC
rnacentral:rRNA from 1 species